rnacentral:rRNA from 1 species
UACGGAGGGUGCAAGCGUUAUCCGGAUUCACUGGGUUUAAAGGGAGCGUAGGCGGAACGAUAAGUCAGUGGUGAAAGCCCCGAGCUCAACUUGGGAAUUGCCAUUGAUACUGUUGUUCUUGAGUUCGGUUGAGGUAGGCGGAAUGUUGCAUGUAGCGGUGAAAUGCUUAGAUAUGCAACAGAACACCGGUUGCGAAGGCAGCU